AACGUUUAUACGUUUGCACGAAGACAUUCGUUCUUAUCGAACCGUAACGAAAACGCGACUUUACGAGCACGAGCAGAAGCACGAUAAGCAAUUAUUAUAUUGCUCUAUCCAAAUGAAGCGAACAAUAUUUCGAGAGGUACUGAUGCCGAUUACGGACUGAACGACCAACGAAUGAUUCAGCCACGUUCAACGGUGACCUUAUUCUUUUUCGAAAGUUCCGUAUUUGCUAUGAAUUGUCGAUAAUUUCGAACUUUACUGUUGAGAUAAUGCCUGCAACAGAUGGCAUGGAAAAAUACGAGAGGCAAAGGAGAGAAGCGAGAAGAAUUGCGAAUAAAAAUCUCUAUUCACGUCAUUUAACAUCUGUUGAUGGAAUCGCGUGAUCUAAUUUUUACAAAUUUAAUGUCAUGAAAUUGUAAGAUACAGAAUCUG
rnacentral:misc_RNA from 1 species